GCAUCCAACGCGUUGGGAGCUCUCCCAUAUGGUCGACCUGCAGGCGGCCGCGAAUUCACUAGUGAUUCGUAUUACCGCGGCUGCUGGCACGAAGUUAGCCGGGGCUUCUUCUGCGGGUACCGUCAUUAUCUUCCCCGCCGAAAGGACUUUACAACCCUAAGGCCUUCAUCAUCCACGCGGCAUGGCUGGAUCAGGCUUGCGCCCAUUGUCCAAUAUUCCCCACUGCUGCCUCCCGUAGGAGUCUGGGCCGUGUCUCAGUCCCAGUGAGGCUGAUCAUCCUCUCAGACCAGCUACUGAUCGUCGCCUUGGUGGGCCAUUACCCCACCAACUAGCUAAUCAGACGCGGGCCGAUCCUUCAGCGAUAAAUCUUUCUCCUUACGGACGUAUUCGGUAUUAGCCCAAGUUUCCCUGGGUUGUUCCGAACUGAAGGGUACGUUCCCACGUGUUACUCUCCCGUCUGCCGCUCCCCUUGCGGGGCGCUCGACUUGCAUGUGUUAGGCCUGCCGCCAGCGUUCGCUCUGAGCCAGGAUCAAACUCUAAUCGAAUUCCCGCGGCCGCCAUGGCGGCCGGGAGCAUGGGACGUCG
rnacentral:rRNA from 1 species